rnacentral:rRNA from 1 species
GACGAACGCUGGCGGCGUGCUUAACACAUGCAAGUCGAGCGGUAAGGGCCCUUUCGGGGGUACACGAGCGGCGAACGGGUGAGUAACACGUGGGUGACCUGCCCUCAGCUCUGGGAUAAGCCUGGGAAACUGGGUCUAAUACUGGAUAUGACUCCACGGUGCAUGUCGUGGGGUGGAAAGCCUUGUGCGGCUGAGGAUGGGCCCGCGGCCUAUCAGCUUGUUGGUGGGGGAUGGCCUACCAAGGCGACGACGGGUAGCCGGCCUGAGAGGGCGACCGGCCACACUGGGACUGAGACACGGCCCAGACUCCUACGGGAGGCAGCAGUGGGGAAUCUUGCGCAAUGGGCGAAAGCCUGACGCAGCGACGCCGCGUGAGGGAUGACGGCCUGG